CUUUCGGAGCUGUGCGGCACGCUGAGCAGGUAUGCAAUCUCCUGAGUAUGUUAUGGCUUCGGGCCUUGGGGGCUGAAGCACUGGAAGCUGGUGGGAUUCCCGCCGCAGCCGGUGAGCUUAGUUCAGGGCACAAGCUGGAAACUUUAGGAGGUUGGUUCUGCGUGUAUUUGUGACAUAAAAUAGCAUUGGAUUUUGGUCUGGACACCAGACAAAGACGACUCAGCAUGCGUGUUCAUGCUAUGAUGAAGGCUAUGUUGGUAGGGACAACUGACCUUGUUGAUGAAUACCAACGAUUCUGAUGGCAGAGCAUGCUGAGUCACCUCGUGCACGGUUCGACGGGGGUGGAAUGCAAAGCCACGCGGUGUUUCUUUCGCGAUCACCAUGGGAUGAAGGCUUUUGCUAGAGACUGCCACUAAGUAGGCCUUAGUCACUAACAAAGGACGAUUGCUCUUGGGAAGUACCUGGAUUAGAGACUUGUAUGUAACUGCUGGAUAUGUGCAACUCAACAGUGCCUAUGUGGACGGAGUUCUUUGUAAGACAGGUCCAUUUUGUGGGAGUAAAACAACUAAAGAUUAACAUUUUUCUUAGGAAUGGCAAUGUGGACCCCUGUGAUGGGACAUCUUGUGGGAUCUUACAGCCAGGUAACUCAGUGGGGGAGGGGCAUGACUAAAACAUAAUGACCACAAAGCCCAUGAUGGUAUGAGAGUAGUGGACAGAAGGGAUUUCUGAAAAACACUUUUCUGAGGCUUUAAUUCAGCUACUGGAAAGGGUUUAGUUCCGUGAAGAAGGGGACUGACUGUUCACAUCUCUUAUUUCCAGAUCUGUGGCAAAGGAGGAUGAAGGCUUAUGAGGUGAGUACUGAAUAGUAAUGAGAAGUUAGGUUGAAAGGACAGUGCCACAAUGAUGACAUCAUAUUUGCUACUCUUGACAGCUGGGGUGACGAUAGCUUUAAACCACCAUGAUUAUAACUGAGGCACACAAAAUAAUGCUUUGGGGGCUACUUACAGAGUAAGCAGUAUUUACAUAAUGAUUCCCCCCCCCAGGACUCGUCAGGAAGCUGGAUAACAGAACGAGCGCAAUGUAAGCAAUUUUGUGUGUGCAUGUGGUCCCAUUACAAGGAAUACCCAAUGGCAAAUGAGCACUAAAGAUCCCUCAACCCACACAUCGAAUGUAUUGUUCCCUGAGAGCACUUGUAGAUAGAGGAGUUGGGUGGGAGAUCUGAAGUCAGGGCAUUGUUUCUAUGUAUCUGAGGAGGCUGGUUUUUGAUAUUUGUGGGGAACUAGUGGUCGUUAACUCAUUUACCCCCUAUUUGGUGGACUCUGGUUCCCCCAUCUUAAGUGCUGAGUCAGGGGCAGCUUUAACUAUUUGUUUGUUGUAGGUGCUAGAAUAGAAGACCAGAAAAUGAAAUGGUAAGUGAAACUAAAGGAAUUGUAGAUGCUAAACAGGCUUGGCUUUGUUGCACUCUGCCAAAUACUCUGGCCACGUGUUCCAUCCUGGUCAUAGCUGAACACAGCCUGCAUGAUGACGAACAAAUACUGACUACCUGAAGAUCUUAUUAGCUCUAUCUGAUGGUGGGCUUCCUUGGCAUUUAUUGUGGGGCAAACUCAAAUCUGUUAACUGCAUUGAAAAGCUCUUUUAAUUUUUUUUUCUAGGUGGAGUUUGAGGCUGGAUAGACAGUUUGAAAGGUAAGUAUUGAAAAACACUUGAAUUUGGGUCAGUACGAAGGGACAUGCAGAGACUUUGAAUCAUCAAAACUCCAGCAUGCAUUGUCUUACCAAGAUGUUUAGAUAGGUGUGUUUUGGACAAUACUCGGGGUUCUUGUAAUGAUGUUGAUCAAAUGUCUGAGCUGAAAAUAACUUGUAGACAAUUUUUAACACUGAAGAACCCUGUGGCAGGCAACUAAGAAUAGUCGAAUGAUGUUUAGCAUAUUUGUAAGAGGUAUUUUCUUUUAAUCCUAGUUAACUGGUUGCAUGCUUGUUCAUUUGGCUGGCUUGCUUGGGUAAGAAGCCAUUGGGGGCCUUGAAUUCCCUCCAGUCAUUUGCAGUAUUUACUGCAUAACAUUUAGUUUUUGAACAUGCAUGUGCUACCAUCAGUACUAAAUGGUGCCUUAAAUUUUUUUCAGGUACAAAUGAUGGUUUGAAUAAAGAAAGGUAAGCAUUGUAAGUUUGGUAUUUACUAUAUGAAUUAAGGUACUGUUAGUGAUGACCAAUAAAGUUAAACAGAUGGGAAUCUCUCUGAAUAAGAUUGAAGAUUGAUUGUUAAGCUGAAACAGUAUUUAAGAACAUCAGUAAAUAUACAAAUACAUAUUUAUUUCUAAACGGAGUGUAAUUUCUUACAGAUAUUACGCAUGGGUCACCUCAAGUGAAGGCGCUGCAAGCACAAUGAUUGGUCAUUCUGAAUUUCCCGUCCUUCAUUCUGAAUUUCAAAGGCUCCUGUGACAAGUGGACAUGCAGUGACUGUACCUUUUGUACCUUUGUUUCUGAGGUGCCUGGAUGGAGGCUCAAAUAGAAGAUGGUGUCAGAUAUAUUGUGUUGUCAAAAUUUUGCCAUUAAAGUGUAUUAUAACAUUAA
ensembl:processed_transcript growth arrest specific 5